UACGUAGGGUGCAAGCGUUGUCCGGAAUUAUUGGGCGUAAAGAGCUUGUAGGCGGUUUGUCGCGUCUGCUGUGAAACUUCGGGGCUACACCUCGGACUGCAGUGGGUACGGGCAGACUAGAGUGCGGUAGGGGAGACUGGAAUUCCUGGUGUAGCGGUGAAAUGCGCAGAUAUCAGGAGGAACACCGGUGGCGAAGGCGGGUCUCUGGGCCGUAACUGACGCUGAGGAGCGAAAGCGUGGGGAGCGAACAGG
rnacentral:rRNA from 1 species